CGGUGAGCCGUGCCACGGAAUCGGGUGCUCCAAGUGGGCCAUUUUUGGUAAGCAGAACUGGCGAUGCGGGAUGAACCGGAGUGCGGGUUACGGUGCCCAACUGCGCGCUAACCUAGAACCCACAAAGGGUGUUGGUCGAUUAAGACAGCAGGACGGUGGUCAUGGAAGUCGAAAUCCGCUAAGGAGUGUGUAACAACUCACCUGCCGAAUCAACUAG
rnacentral:ncRNA from 1 species